rnacentral:rRNA from 1 species
AGGAAGGAGAAGUCGUAACAAGGUUUCCGUAAGUGAACCUGCACAAGGAUCAUUG